AAGCUGCUCUUUCGUACUACGUUGAACAGAAAUACCACACCGAUGCUCCAGUUUGCUACACCACAACCUACGCUAAACCUAGCUACAACACCUAAGCACUCAAGUACUACACCGAAGAAGCCGCACAUUACCGCAUAUUACACAACCACGUACGCUGCAAUAGUUUACUACACCGAGGAACCCUAGUAAUACUCUGCUCCAAGCUGCUAACUAUGGAUCAUAAUUACUACACCAGCAAGGCUCCCGAGUAUUUCCCCACUACUUACGCUGCUCCGACCUAUUCAACGAAGUUUCAACGUAUUCCUCUGCCCUGAGUUACUACAUAACUAAGGCACCUGAAGAUUACACCAUAACCUACGCUUCUCCAGCUGACUACAAGGUAACUUCUAAAUACUAGAGCUGAAUUUCAAUUUUGUUUUUUGUGUUCAGAUUUGUCGGUUAUUUUUUAAUAGAUACUAGUCAUCGGGAUUUGAUUGUUGAUGUUUAAUGAGAAAAUAAAUAUUUUAAUGCGGAUGUUUGUAUUUUGGUUGGAUCUUGUCUAUUUCACAUUUUGAAGGUGACUGCUGCUAUAGUCGAUCUUCAUAGGACAUAUCCUGGUGCUUGGACGGAAUUUCUUUUCAGGGUUCUGGCGUAACAAAGGAGUUCAUGGCAGACGUUGUGUUUUGCUCUUUCACAGGAAUUUUUGAAAGAAGGGAGAUGGAAAAAGAUUUUCUAAUGUCUUUGUAAGUAAUAGCCAAGUGACUGAUCAUUUGCGCAUGAGUGUAACUAUUCAAAGUUUAAGAAAUAAACUGUUUUAUUUGCUAAA